GACGAACGCUGGCGGCGUGCCUAAUACAUGCAAGUUGAGCGAUGAAGAUUGGUGCUUGCCCCAAUUUGAAGAGCAGCGAACGGGUGAGUAACGCGUGGGGAAUCUGCCUUUGAGCGGGGGACAACAUUUGGAAACGAAUGCUAAUACCGCAUAAUAACUUUAAACAUAAGUUUUAAGUUUGAAAGAUGCAAUUGCAUCACUCAAAGAUGAUCCCGCGUUGUAUUAGCUAGUUGGUGAGGUAAAGGCUCACCAAGGCGAUGAUACAUAGCCGACCUGAGAGGGUGAUCGGCCACAUUGGGACUGAGACACGGCCCAAACUCCUACGGGAGGCAGCAGUAGGGAAUCUUCGGCAAUGGACGAAAGUCUGACCGAGCAACGCCGCGUGAGUGAAGAAGGUUUUCGGAUCGGAAAACUCGGUUGGUAGAGAAGAACGUUGGUGAGAGUGGAAAGCUCAUCAAGUGACGGUAACUACCCAGAAAGGGACGGCUAACUACGUG
rnacentral:rRNA from 1 species